rnacentral:rRNA from 1 species
GACGAACGCUGGCGGCGUGCUUAACACAUGCAAGUCGAACGGCAAGGCCCUGCUUUUGUGGGGUGCUCGAGUGGCGAACGGGUGAGUAACACGUGAGUAACCUGCCCUUGACUUUGGGAUAACUUCAGGAAACUGGGGGUAAUACCGGAUAGGAGCUCCUGCUGCAUGGGGGGGGUUGGAAAGUUUCGGCGGUUGGGGAUGGACUCGCGGGUUAUCAGCUUGUUGGUGGGGUAGUGGCUUACCAAGGCUUUGACGGGUAGCCGGCCUGAGAGGGUGACCGGCCACAUUGGGACUGAGAUACGGCCCAGACUCCUACGGGAGGCAGCAGUGGGGAAUAUUGCACAAUGGGCGGAAGCCUGAUGCAGCAACGCCGCGUGCGGGAUGACGGCCUUCGGGUUGUAAACCGCUUUCGCCUGUGACGAAGCGUGAGUGACGGUAAUGGGUAAAGAAGCACCGGCUAACUACGUG